rnacentral:tRNA from 1 species
GAGGGUAUAGCUCAGUGGUAGAGUGCAUGCCUAGCAUGCAUGAGGUCAUGGGUUCAAUCCCCAGUACCUCCA